GAAUUUUGGACAAUGGGCGAAAGCCUGUGCCAGCACUGCCGCGCGCUGGAUGAUGCCCUUCGGGUUGUAAAGUGCGUUUGUCCGGAACGAAAAGCUUUGGGUUAAUACCCUGGCGUCAUGACGGUACCGUCAGAAUAAGCACCGGCUAACUCCGUGCCAGCAGCCGCGGUAAUACAUAGGGUGCAAGCGUUCAUCGGAAUUCCUGGGCGUAAAGCGUGCGCAUGCGGUUUUGUAAGACAGAGGUGAAAUCCCCGGGCUCAACGUGGGAACUGCCUUUGUGACUGCAAGGCUAGAGUACGGCAGAGGGGGGUGGAAUUCCGCGUGUAUCAGUGAAAUUCGUAGAUAUGCAGAGGAACACCGAUGGCGAAGGCAACCCCCUGCGCCUGUACUGACGCUCAUGCACGAAAGCGUGGGGAGCAAACA
rnacentral:rRNA from 1 species